rnacentral:rRNA from 1 species
AUACGUAGGGGGCAAGCGUUAUCCGGAUUUACUGGGUGUAAAGGGAGUGUAGACGGCAUGGCAAGUCUGAAGUGAAAACCCAGGGCUCAACCCUGGGACUGCUUUGGAAACUGUCAAGCUAGAGUGCAGGAGAGGUAAGUGGAAUUCCUAGUGUAGCGGUGAAAUGCGUAGAUAUUAGGAGGAACACCAGUGGUGAAGGCGGCUUACUGGACUGUAACUGACGUUGAGGCUCGAAAGCGUGGGGAGCAAACAGGAUUAGAUACCCUGGUAGUCCACGCCGUAAACGAUGAGUGCUAGGUGUUGGGGGGCAAAGCCCUUCGGUGCCGUCGCAAACGCAAUAAGCACUCCACCUGGGGAGUACGUUCGCAAGAAUGAAACUCAAAGGAAUUGACGGGG